UCCGGUUGAUCCUGCCGGACCUGACUGCUAUCGGAUUGAUACUAAGCCAUGCGAGUCAUUGUAGCAAUACAAGGCAGACGGCUCAGUAACGCGUAGUCAACCUACCCUAUGGACGGGAAUAACCUCGGGAAACUGAGUAUAAUGCCCGAUAGAACACUAUACCUGGAAUGGUUUGUGUUUCAAAUGAUUUAUUGCCAUAGGAUGGGACUGCGGCCUAUCAGUUUGUUGGUGAGGUAAUGGCCCACCAAGACUAUUACAGGUACGGGCUCUGAGAGGAGUGGCCCGGAGAUGGGUACUGAGACACGGACCCAGGCCCUAUGGGGCGCAGCAGGCGAGAAAACUUUGCAAUGUGCGAAAGCACGACAAGGUUAAUCCGAGUGGUUUCUGCUAAAGGAACCUUUUGACAGUCCUAGAAACACUGUUGAAUAAGGGGUGGGCAAGUUCUGGUGUCAGCCGCCGCGGUAAAACCAGCACCUCAAGUGGUCAGGAUGAUUAUUGGGCCUAAAGCAUCCGUAGCCGGCUCAGUAAGUUUUCGGUUAAAUCUGUACGCUUAACGUACAGGCUGCCGGGAAUACUGCAGAGCUAGGGAGUGGGAGAGGUAGACGGUACUCGAGAGGAAGUGGUAAAAUGCUUUGAUCUUUCGAUGACCACCUGUGGCGAAGGCGGUCUACCAGAACACGUCCGACGGUGAGGGAUGAAAGCUGGGGGAGCAAACCGGAUUAGAUACCCGGGUAGUCCCAGCUGUAAACUAUGCAAACUCAGUGAUGCAUUGGCUUGUGGCCAAUGCAGUGUUGCAG
rnacentral:rRNA from 1 species